CCCGCCGUCGGACUCGUUGCGCUCCGCUCUGCGCAUGGAUAUACACCGCAUGCCACUGGCGAAAAAGCACGAAUCCCCCCGGAAUGAGCCCCGUUUCCCAAGGUUGUGCCCAGGAACAGCUGCCUGUGUUUUCCUGGGAUCCACCAACACAAGGAAGCGUGGACAUGGACUAAUGCAUGGACAGGACAAGAUGCAGAGUUGUCUUUGCUGAUUUCCUGGGCAAACAGACUGUGUAUCUUUAUGCAGAAGGAAACAGAGAGAAGUGAGAACUGUGAAGGACUGCUGCCUCAGAGCUGCUGUUGCCAUAGAGCUGCUAAGGAGGAAAAAAACUGCAGCAGGGAUUUCUUGUGCUGUUGAAGCCAACUGGUCUGUUAUGGCUCCUGUGAUAACUGCAUCCAGUGGAAGGUG